CACGGGGGGAGCAAGCGUUGUUCGGAAUCACUGGGCGUAAAGGGAGUCUAGGCGGUCAGGUAAGUGGAAUGUGAAAUCCCUCGGCUCACCCGAGGACCUGCAUCCCAAACUGCCUGGCUUGAGUAUGGGAGAGGAUGAGGGAAUUCCUGGUGUAGCGGUGAAAUGCGUAGAUAUCGAGGAGGAACACCGGUGGCGAAGGCGCUCAUCUGGCCCAAUACUGACGCUGAAGCUACGAAAGCUAGGGGAGCAAACGGG
rnacentral:rRNA from 1 species